rnacentral:rRNA from 1 species
UCUGGCGGCCAUAGCGGUAUGGCACCACCUGGCUCCAUUCCGAACCCAGAAGUGAAACAUACCAGCGCCGAUGGUAGUGUGGGGUCUCCCCAUGUGAGAGUAGGACACCGCCAGACUUCAAAUAGAAU